CAGUCGCCGCGGGAAUACGUAGGUGGCAAGCGUUGUCCGGAAUUAUUGGGCGUAAAGGGCUCGCAGGCGGUUUCUUAAGUCUGAUGUGAAAGCCCCCGGCUCAACCGGGGAGGGUCAUUGGAAACUGGGAAACUUGAGUGCAGAAGAGGAGAGUGGAAUUCCACGUGUAGCGGUGAAAUGCGUAGAGAUGUGGAGGAACACCAGUGGCGAAGACGACUCUCUGGUCUGUAACUGACGCUGAGGAGCGAAAGCGUGGGGAGCGAACAGGAUUAGAUACCCCUGUAGUCCCUGUCUCUUAUAC
rnacentral:rRNA from 1 species